rnacentral:lncRNA from 1 species
CUUAGCAUGGUGAAUGGUGAGGGAGUCCAAGGUUAAUAUAAAGAUCUCAAGGUUCUUAUUACAGCACAUUAAGUACCACCAUCGUGAAACAUUUUAAAUUUAUGUUUGUAUUCUCUUUUUCUCUUUUGCUCUUGUUUUAUGGUCCGUUCAAUGAAUACAAUAAAGAGACAAGAUAUGACAAUGUUUCUCCUCCCUGUGGUUGGUAUUGCUGGCGACGUAAGUUGUCACGGCUGUGACCACUAGUUCACCGAGGGCCAUCAUCACGCUCGUCCUUUUCCUCCCUUAAACAUUAGAACAUGCCAUCUCGCAACCCUCCACAUUCUUGGGUUUGUUCUUCCCAUGUCGUAAUGAAAUGGUUACUGCUACUCGUCAAGAUGUUGUGACCUGCGAUGGCAGACCUCCCACCGUCUGCCACCUCCACGCCACCAAUUGUGAUUCUGCCUCCCACAGUGCUUGCUUUACGCCUGGGUCCAAGUCCAUCCCAAAGAAAAGGAUAUCACGAGACCCGAGGCUAAGGCUGAUGACGCCACAAUAGUUCCUCCAUUCGUCAGUCGCGGUGUCACCCUCUGUUUGGCAGCUCAACCCUCA